rnacentral:rRNA from 1 species
UACGGGGGGAGCAAGCGUUGUUCGGAUUUACUGGGCGUAAAGGGCGCGUAGGCGGCCUCUGCAAGUCGACUGUGAAAUCUCCGGGCUUAACCCGGAAAGGUCAGCCGAUACUGCAGGGCUAGAGUGCAGAAGGGGCAACUGGAAUUCUCGGUGUAGCGGUGAAAUGCGUAGAUAUCGAGAGGAACACCUGCGGCGAAGGCGGGUUGCUGGGCUGACACUGACGCUGAGACACGAAAGCGUGGGGAGCAAACGGG